GUGAUAGAAGGCCACGUUCGAGGAUUCUGAGAAGGAGUACAACAUUGAUACAUCGGAAGGAUAUUAGAGGGAGCGCUGGGUUCUCACUGAAGAAGGAAGAAUCUAUGCUACUGCAGGCUCUCCUGAAGUGCAAGUAUACCCGGCUAUACCACAAGAGGGUAUCUCGCCAGAUGAACUUGAGGUUCUUUCUUCAAUUGCAUAUUAUCAGAAAAUAUUCAAAUAGCAGCUGUUUGACAGAAUCCUGAUCAUAUAGCAGGCUCAGGGUGUGCUGUGAAGAUUUGGUGGAGAUCCACAACUUAAGUCAAUGAUACACUGGGUUUCAGCAUCUCAGGCUACCUUUAAACAUAUCAAUUAUAGGUGUGGGUUUCCUGUUGCAAAAAAGACUUAUUUGAUCAACUAUACUAUCGUCUUCAUGGUGGUUCUCUCGUAUAAUGUCGUCUUCAUGGUGGUUCUCUUAUAACGGCUGCUACGUCAGGAAAACUAGAACAUUUUAAUGGCGUUUUCAUGGUGGUUCUCUCGUAUACGAUCUUCUUUCCAAAC